GACGAACGCUGGCGGCGUGCUUAACACAUGCAAGUCGAACGGAAAGGCCCUGCUUUUGUGGGGUGCUCGAGUGGCGAACGGGUGAGUAACACGUGAGUAACCUGCCCUUGACUUUGGGAUAACUUCAGGAAACUGGGGCUAAUACCGGAUAGGAGCUCCUGCUGCAUGGUGGGGGUUGGAAAGUUUCGGCGGUUGGGGAUGUACUCGCGGCUUAUCAGCUUGUUGGUGGGGUAGGUGCUUACCACGGCUUUGACGGGUAGCCGGCCUGAGAGGGUGACCGGCCACAUUGGGACUGAGAUACGGCCCAGACUCCUACGGGAGGCAGCAGUGGGGAAUAUUGCACAAUGGGCGGAAGCCUGAUGCAGCAACGCCGCGUGCGGGAUGACGGCCUUCGGGUUGUAAACCGCUUUCGCAUGUGACGAAGAGUGAGUGACGGUAAUGGGUAAAGAAGCACCGGCUAACUACGUG
rnacentral:rRNA from 1 species